AGUGAACGCUGGCGGUAGGCCUAACACAUGCAAGUCGAACGGCAGCACAGUAAGAGCUUGCUCUUACGGGUGGCGAGUGGCGGACGGGUGAGGAAUACAUCGGAAUCUACUUUUUCGUGGGGGAUAACGUAGGGAAACUUACGCUAAUACCGCAUACGACCUACGGGUGAAAGUAGGGGAUCUUCGGACCUUGCGCGAUUGAAUGAGCCGAUGUCGGAUUAGCUAGUUCGCGGGGUAAAGGCCCACCAAGGCGACGAUCCGUAGCUGGUCUGAGAGGAUGAUCAGCCACACUGGAACUGAGACACGGUCCAGACUCCUACGGGAGGCAGCAGUGGGGAAUAUUGGACAAUGGGCGCAAGCCUGAUCCAGCCAUACCGCGUGGGUGAAGAAGGCCUUCGGGUUGUAAAGCCCUUUUGUUGGGAAAGAAAAGCAGCAGGUUAAUACCCCGCUGUUCUGACGGUACCCAAAGAAUAAGCACCGGCUAACUUCGUG
rnacentral:rRNA from 1 species